rnacentral:rRNA from 1 species
AACGCUAGCUACAGGCUUAACACAUGCAAGUCGAGGGGCAUCAGGGUAGCAAUACCGCUGGCGACCGGCGCACGGGUGAGUAACACGUAUCCAACCUGCCGCUUACUCGGGGAUAGCCUUUCGAAAGAAAGAUUAAUACCCGAUGGUAUAAAGUCUUCGCAUGUUCUCUUUAUUAAAGAAUUUCGGUUAUCGAUGGGGAUGCGUUCCAUUAGAUCGUUGGCGGGGUAACGGCCCACCAAGUCUACGAUGGAUAGGGGUUCUGAGAGGAAGGUCCCCCACAUUGGAACUGAGACACGGUCCAAACUCCUACGGGAGGCAGCAGUGAGGAAUAUUGGUCAAUGGACGAAGGUCUGAACCAGCCAAGUAGCGUGAAGGAUGACUGCCCUAUGGGUUGUAAACUUCUUUUAUAUGGGAAUAAAGUUCUCCACGUGUGGAGUUUUGUAUGUACCAUUAUGAAUAAGCAUCGGCUAACUCCGUGCCAGCAGCCGCGGUAAUACGGAGGAUGCGAGCGUUAUCCGGAUUUAUUGGGUUUAAAGGGAGCGUAGGUGGACUGGUAAGUCAGUUGUGAAAGUUUGCGGCUCAACCGUAAAAUUGCAGUUGAUACUGUCAGUCUUGAGUACAGUAGAGGUGGGCGGAAUUCGUGGUGUAGCGGUGAAAUGCUUAGAUAUCACGAAGAACUCCGAUUG